UACGGAGGGUGCAAACGUUGCUCGGAAUCAUUGGGCGUAAAGCGCACGUAGGCGGUCCGUUAAGUCGGGAGUGAAAGCCCCAGGCUCAACUUGGGAAGUGCUUUCGAAACUGGCGGACUUGAAUACUGAAGAGGAUCGCGGAAUUCCCGGUGUAGAGGUGAAAUGCGCAGAUAUCGGGAGGAACACCGGUGGCGAAGGCGGUUCUCUGGGCCUUACCUGACGCUGAGGAGCGAAAGCGUGGGGAGCGAACAGG
rnacentral:rRNA from 1 species